rnacentral:lncRNA from 1 species
GGAAAGAGUAUAGUACACAAUUAUAUUUGACCUAAGUCUAUAAAGGUAUGGACUAGGGAGAAUAGGUUUCUGGAUAUGAUGGUAUCCAAUGAAUACGUUGUUAAGUUGUUUUAAGAUUAACCUGAGUUUGUUAGACACAGACUAGGAAUAAGAGUUUCUGGGCAGUAUGACCCCAAGUUUUGUUUAUUUUAUUUUAGUCAGUUGAAGUGUACUAAGGAAUAUGGAUUGGUCAGAACAUUAGGACAAUCCUGCU